rnacentral:sRNA from 1 species
UGCUCAGAAGAUAAGCUUACA